AUACGGAGGGUGCAAGCGUUGUCCGGAUUUAUUGGGUUUAAAGGGUGUGUAGGCGGUGUAUUAAGUCAGUGGUGAAAGCCUGCGGCUCAACCGUAGAACUGCCAUUGAUACUGACACACUUGAGUAUGGACGAGGUAGGCGGAAUUUAUGGUGUAGCGGUGAAAUGCAUAGAUACCAUAAAGAACACCGAUAGCGAAGGCAGCUUACUAGGCCAUAACUGACGCUGAGGCACGAAAGCGUGGGGAGCGAACAGGAUUAGAUACCCCUGUAGUCC
rnacentral:rRNA from 1 species